rnacentral:lncRNA from 7 species
GACUGCACAUCUCCUUGUUAUCGUUCUCCUGCAGUUACUCAGAUCUGUUAGAAUUUUUCCAGCUCUUUCAGAUCCUACAAGGAAAAUGCUGUUUAUCACCUUCAAUUUCCCCAACGAGGCCUGAAAACUCAUUAGUACAACAGACGGUGCCAUAUGCUUCCUUGCACAAAUGUCUUUGUUCCGUGUGCCUGGAGCGACUAUUGCUGGAAGAUGCUGCAGCAUGCUCUGAGCUCCUCCCGCUGAGGUUCCACGUAGCAUUUACAGUCAUCAUUCAGUCCUGUUUGCCAUACCCUGCUUGAGGUCCAGGUGGAGGAACUGCACUCAGCUGCCCCCUCUAUGCUCAGCCUACUUCGGAUCAGCUGGAAGGAGCUCACAGGGGAGCUGUGAGAACAUUAUUGCAUUAACCCGCCACUCCUCAAUCCUUAUCCUACCAUGGUAUUUAUGCAUGAGAGCCAGAGAGAAAGAUAAAACAUUCCCAUCACAGUGAUGUUAUUUUCCUUUCAAAGUUCUCUCUUGCUUUCAUAUAUGGUUGUUGAUAUAGAAAGCUGUAGAUG